rnacentral:tRNA from 1 species
GCUGGUGUAGCUCAGUUGGUAGAGCAUCUGACUUGUAAUCAGGCGGUCGAGGGUUCAACUCCUUUCACCAGCU